AACGAACGCUGGCGGCAGGCCUAACACAUGCAAGUCGAACGAGAAGCAUCCUUCGGGAUGUGGAAAGUGGCAGACGGGUGAGUAACGCGUGGGAAUCUACCCAGUUCUACGGAACAACACAGAGAAAUUUGUGCUAAUACCGUAUACGCCCUCCGGGGGAAAGAUUUAUCGGAGCUGGAUGAGCCCGCGUUUGAUUAGCUAGUUGGUGAGGUAAUGGCUCACCAAGGCGACGAUCAAUAGCUGGUCUGAGAGGAUGAUCAGCCACACUGGGACUGAGACACGGCCCAGACUCCUACGGGAGGCAGCAGUGGGGAAUAUUGGACAAUGGGCGCAAGCCUGAUCCAGCCAUGCCGCGUGAGUGAAGAAGGCCUUCGGGUUGUAAAGCUCUUUUACCUGUGAUGAUAAUGACAGUAGCAGGAGAAAAAGCUCCGGCUAACUUCGUGCCAGCAGCCGCGGUAAUACGAAGGGAGCGAGCGUUGUUCGGAAUUACUGGGCGUAAAGCGUGCGUAGGCGGUUUAGCAAGUUAGAAGUGAAAGCCCUGGGCUCAACCUAGGAAUUGCUUUUAAAACUGCUAAACUAGAAUCUCGGAGGGGAUGGUGGAAUUUCCAGUGUAGAGGUGAAAUUCGUAGAUAUUGGAAGGAACACCAGUGGCGAAGGCGACCAUCUGGACGAGUAUUGACGCUGAGGCACGAAAGCGUGGGGAGCAAACAGGAUUAGAUACCCUGGUAGUCCACGCCGUAAACGAUGUAAACUAGCCGUUGGGACCUUAGGUUUCAGUGGCGCAGCUAACGCACUAAGUUUACCGCCUGGGGAGUACGGCCGCAAGGUUAAAACUCAAAGGAAUUGACGGGGACCCGCACAAGCGGUGGAGCAUGUGGUUUAAUUCGAUGCAACGCGCAGAACCUUACCAGCCCUUGACAUCCCGAUUGGGAGGAGCAGAGAUGCACCUCUUCAUUUAGUUGGAUCGGUGACAGGUGCUGCAUGGCUGUCGUCAGCUCGUGUCGUGAGAGAUGUUGGGUUAAGUCCCGCAACGAGCGCAACCCCUGUUAUCAGUUGCCAUCAGUUCGGCUGGGCACUCUGAUGAGACUGCCGGUGAUAAGCCGGAGGAAGGCGGGGAUGACGUCAAGUCCUCAUGGCCCUUAUGGGCUGGGCUACACACGUGCUACAAUGGCAGAUACAAUGAGCAGCCAACCCGCGAGGGCGAGCUAAUCUUUAAAAUCUGUCUCAGUUCGGAUUGUUCUCUGCAACUCGAGAGCAUGAAGUCGGAAUCGCUAGUAAUCGUGGAUCAGCAUGCCACGGUGAAUACGUUCCCGGGUCU
rnacentral:rRNA from 1 species